rnacentral:rRNA from 1 species
UACGUAGGGUGCGAGCGUUGUCCGGAUUUAUUGGGCGUAAAGCGAGCGCAGGUGGUUUAAUAAGUCUGAUGUAAAAGGCAGUGGCUCAACCAUUGUGUGCAUUGGAAACUGUUAGACUUGAGUGCAGUAGAGGAGAGUGGAAUUCCCGGUGUAGCGGUGAAAUGCGUAGAUAUCGGGAGGAACGCCGGUGGCGAAGGCGGCCACCUGGUCAGAAACUGACGCUGAGGUACGAAAGCGUGGGGAGCAAACAGG